CAGUCGAACGAUGAAGCUUUUAGCUUGCUAGAAGUGGAUUAGUGGCGCACGGGUGAGUAAGGUAUAGUUAAUCUGCCCUACACAAGAGGACAACAGUUGGAAACGACUGCUAAUACUCUAUACUCCUGCUUAACACAAGUUGAGUAGGGAAAGUUUUUCGGUGUAGGAUGAGACUAUAUAGUAUCAGCUAGUUGGUAAGGUAAUGGCUUACCAAGGCUAUGACGCUUAACUGGUCUGAGAGGAUGAUCAGUCACACUGGAACUGAGACACGGUCCAGACUCCUACGGGAGGCAGCAGUAGGGAAUAUUGCGCAAUGGGGGAAACCCUGACGCAGCAACGCCGCGUGGAGGAUGACACUUUUCGGAGCGUAAACUCCUUUUCUUAGGGAAGAAUUCUGACGGUACCUAAGGAAUAAGCACCGGCUAACUCCGUGCCAGCAGCCGCGGUAAUACGGAGGGUGCAAGCGUUACUCGGAAUCACUGGGCGUAAAGGGCGCGUAGGCGGAUUAUCAAGUCUCUUGUGAAAUCUAAUGGCUUAACGCAUUAAACUGCUUGGGAAACUGAUAGUGCUAGAGUGAGGGAGAGGCAGAUGGAAUUGGUGGUGUAGGGGUAAAAUGGCGUAGAUAUCGCCAAGAAUACCGCAUUGCGAAGGCGAUCUGCUGGAACUCAACUGACGCUAAGGCGCGAAAGCGUGGGGAGCAAACAGGAUUAGAUACCGCUGGUAGUCCACGCGCCUAAACGAUGUACACUAGUUGUUGGGGGUGCUAGUCAUCUCAGUAAUGCAGCUAACGCAUUAAGUGUACCGCGCUGGGGAGUACGGUCGCAAGAUUAAA
rnacentral:rRNA from 1 species